rnacentral:rRNA from 1 species
GACGAACGCUGGCGGCGUGCUUAACACAUGCAAGUCGAGCGGUAAGGCUCCUUCGGGAGUACACGAGCGGCGAACGGGUGAGUAACACGUGAGCAAUCUGCCCUUCACAUCGGGAGUAACUUCGGGAAACCGGAAGCUAAUACCGAAUACGACCACCGAUGGCAUCAUCUGGUGGUGGAAAGUUCCGGCGGUGAAGGAUGAGCUCGCGGCCUAUCAGCUUGUUGGUGGA